UACGGAGGGUGCGAGCGUUGCUCGGAAUCACUGGGCGUAAAGGGCGUGUAGGCGGGAAGGUAAGUCAGAUGUGAAAUCCCUGGGCUCAACCCAGGAACUGCAUUUGAAACUCCCUUUCUUGAGUGUCGGAGAGGAAAGUGGAAUUCCUGGUGUAGAGGUGAAAUUCGUAGAUAUCAGGAGGAACACCGGUGGCGAAGGCGGCUUUCUGGACGACAACUGACGCUGAGACGCGAAAGCGUGGGGAGCAAACAGG
rnacentral:rRNA from 1 species